rnacentral:rRNA from 1 species
AGGCCUACGGGGGGCAGCAGUGGGGAAUAUUGCACAAUGGGGGAAACCCUGAUGCAGCAACGCCGCGUGAGUGAAGAAGUAUUUCGGUAUGUAAAGCUCUAUCAGCAGGGAAGAAGAUGACGGUACCUGAAUAAGAAGCCCCGGCUAACUACGUGCCAGCAGCCGCGGUAAUACGUAGGGGGCUAGCGUUAUCCGGAAUUACUGGGCGUAAAGGGUGCGUAGGUGGUUUCUUAAGUCAGAGGUGAAAGGCUACGGCUCAACCGUAGUAAGCCUUUGAAACUGGGGGACUUGAGUGCAGGAGAGGG